CCUACGGGUGGCUGCAGUGGGGAAUAUUGCACAAUGGGCGAAACCCUGAUCCAGCCACGCCGCGUGCGUGAGGAAGUAUUUCGGUAUGUAAAGCUCUAUCAGCAGGGAAGAAAAUGACGGUACCUGACUAAGAAGCCACGUCUAACUACGUGCCAGAAGCCGCGGUAAUACGUAGGGGGCAAGCGUUAUCCGGAUUUACUGGGUGUAAAGGGAGCGUAGACGGCUAAUCAAGUCAGAAGUGAAAACCCAGGGCUCAACUUUGGGACUGCUUUGGAAACUGGGUAGCUAGAGUGCAGGCGAGGUAAGCGGAAUUCGUAGUGUAGCGGUGAAAUGCGUAGAUAUUAGGAGGAACACCAGUGGCGAAGGCAGCUUACUGGACUGUAACUGACGUUGAGGCUCGAAGGCGUGGGGAGCAAACAGGAUUAGAUACCCCUGUAGUC
rnacentral:rRNA from 1 species